rnacentral:pre_miRNA from 1 species
UGUGUUUCCCAGUUGGUUUGAAAGAUGGUCAGCAUGUCAAACCAACUGGGAAACACAAAU